rnacentral:misc_RNA from 1 species
GAUGAAGAACGUAGCGAAAUGCGAUAAGUAAUGUGAAUUGCAGAAUUCAGUGAAUCAUCGAAUCUUUGAACGCACCUUGCACCCUUUGGCAUUCCGAAGGGUAUGCUCGUUUGAGUGUCAUUGUACUCUCACACUCCCAAUUGCUUUGGAUUGGGAGCGGUGGACUUGGGUGUUGCUGCUUGACUGAGGCUCACCUGAAAUAUGUUAGUGCACCUCUUGAUUGGACAUAGUACGGCGUGAUAAGUGUCUUCGCCGGCUCCUCGCAAAGAGGGUGGCCGAUCGGGAGCUCUGUGCUUUCAAACCGUCUUCGGACAAUUUCUGACAACUUGACCUCAAAUCGAGUAGGACUACCCGCUGAACUUAAGCAUAUCAAUAAGCGGAGGA